GGAGAUAAUUACAUAAAACUUUGGAUUGUUGUCGUUUAUUACGUGUCAAAGGCUUGAAUUGGAAAAGAAGAAAAAAACUAAUUUACUUAAAGUGUACAGAUAUGUCAUUCAUAGGUCGCAAUUACGACUUGAUCUAGCCCGACAUCUGUGGAUCAUAAACGCUAACUAACUAUCCCAAAAGCAACAAUCAUACUUAAGGGUUCAACCAUAAUAUUUACGGAUAUCAACCAUACUGAACUCACCUAAACGUUAGAUCUACAAGCUUAGAUUUCUUUUAUUAGAUGUAACAUAAUUUUUUAAAUUCACCAAAAUAUCUUUCAAUGAAAGGCAAAGAAUUAUUAUAGUGGAAGAAAGAUUAUGGGCAUGUAAAAAAUACCUUUUAUAAGAUGUCCUAUAAUGAAUUUUUUGCAAUUUUAUUUUUUUGCCCUUUCUUAUAUUUGGCCAAAAUAAACUUUUGGACUCAAAAAAUAAAAGCUCUAAAUUAAAAAUUUAUACUUUUUAAUAUAAUCCAAAAAAACAUUAUUUCUACAAAAUAAACUCCAUUAAAAUACCAAACAUGUUUUUUUUUUUUGGUUUUU
rnacentral:lncRNA from 1 species